GAGCAGAGGGUGCAAACGUUGUUCGGAAUUACUGGGCGUAAAGCGCGUGUAGGUGGCGAGGCAAGUCGGGUGUGAAAGCCCUGGGCUCAACCCAGGAAGUGCACUCGAUACUGCCUAGCUAGAGUCCCGGAGAGGUUGGUGGAACUCUCGGUGUAGAGGUGAAAUUCGUAGAUAUCGAGAAGAACACCGGUGGCGAAGGCGGCCAACUGGACGGUGACUGACACUGAGACGCGAAAGCGUGGGGAGCAAACAGG
rnacentral:rRNA from 1 species